UCCUAUCAAUUACAACCGUCAUUUACAAACUUGUAUACAAAUAAGAUUCAAAACUAACUCAUAUACAUUUGCGUUGGUAAUGAACAACAGUAGAACUACACAUUCAAGUUCUUCCAUUUAUGCGCAUGUGAAGUGUCACUUCACAAGGAUGGAUUUGACCAACUGAUGAUCAGAUUCAUCCUUUAGCCAUUCUUUAACCCUCCUUUAAGUGUGAAUCAACAAUGACACCAAAAAAAAGAAAGGAAAACACAACAAGAAUUCAGUCCACUUAAGCGGAAACAGGACAUAUAUAUUUCUCAUAAUAAAUAAGUUGAAAACUUGAAGUUCAUAAAGAGAAAUGGAAGCAUCACAGAUACUCUUAGCAUUAUUUUUAGAAAAUUUGCAAAGAAUAGGCAGUAAUUCAAAUGGUUAACCACAUUUGCAAACAUAAACCAAUCAAAUGCCAAUAAUGGAAAUCUACUAACGAAUGGACUGAUUCUUCAACAUAAUAACUGUUAUCUCCUCAUAAAAGUUGUCAUACACCUAAAACCAUCAAAGAGCUGGUAGUAGAUUACCUCAAGACAGCUUAAAGGGAGGGAUUUAUGACCAAAUGAAAUCCAGCAAACUCAGAACAACAACAACAAAACCCCCAGAAUAUUUGACUAAAACCAACUUUAAAUAGCAGGGAUCAUGAACUAGGGAAGCAUAGAGCCAUUUCUAUUUUCAGAUUCACUUGGAAAAACUCAUAAAAAAGGAAGAAAAAUCAAUGUGAAAAUCCAACUCUUUUCUAGAAUUCCUUGUGUUUUAAAGAUGCCUUUUAAAAUUGCCUAAUACUGAU
rnacentral:lncRNA from 1 species